rnacentral:misc_RNA from 1 species
AGUGCCAGGUGAUGAACAAAUGAUACUGCUUUUUCUUGUCCAAUUUCCAUAAAUUCUAUUGCAACAUCAUUAUAAGACACCUAAUGGUGGAAAAAGGAAAAGUUACAAGAACCUAGGGAUGCCACUAGUUACUGUGCAAGUGAGGAGAGGGGUGGGGAUAAAGGUAUGAAUUUAAACAAGAACUCUAAAUUACAUGAAAAUACAUCAUAAGAUGCAACAA